UCUCCGUAGGUGAACCUGCGGAGGGAUCAUUACCGAGUGAGGGUCCUUGUGGCCCGACCUCCAACCCCCUGUCUUCCGACUCUGUUGCCUCGGGGGCAACCCGGCCUUCGUGUGUCGGGGCCCCCGGUGGACCACCCAACCCUGCAUCGUUGCGUCUGAGUCGAAAUAUAAACAAAUCAAAACGUUCAACAACGGAUCUCUUGGUUCUGGCAUCGAUGAAGAACGCAGC
rnacentral:misc_RNA from 1 species